GCCUUAACCAUAAUAACUAGACAAUAACAGGAACCAGCACGUCAGACUCCCACUCCUACUGUCUCCACCCUCUUUCACUCUGUCUUUAUACAGCACACGGUCGUCUGCUGCUCAUGUUUGUCUAGAAACAAAUUUCUUAUCAUGUGGACAACUCUUAUGAAGUUAGACCUGGCCUCUGUUGGCCUGGCUCUGUUUCUGGGCUUUAUUUUUAUAGUUUUGUUCGAGCUCAUUAGGAUUAUUUCCUACAGAGGUCAAACUCCACCUGGUCCCAGACCGCUGCCUUUUGUUGGAAACAUACCAUAUUUUUUGAAGAACCCAAUGGAGUUCAUAAGAUCGGUCUCAUUCACUAAGCAUAUGUAUGCACAAAUCUGUGUGAAAUAUAUCUCAGUAUGGAGAGAUAGCCACUGUCUA